UUUAGGGUCCUUCUCAAUAUGGGCCCUCAAGUUUCAAUUUCAUUAAUUUACACUCCAUGAUUUCAAAUUUGACCAACUUAAGCCUUAUGUUAAAUAAACCGUUUGGUCAGAUAUUAACUGAUGACGUGUCCAAUGUAGAACCCACCAAUUCCUUAACGUCAUCAGUUUAAAUUCUCAAUAUGGACACGUCAUUAGUUAACGUCUGACCAAACUGUCAACUUAACAGAAUAUUUAAAUUAGUCAGAUUUGAAAUCAUGGGGCGUAAUUGAUGAAAUUGAAACUCGGAGGCCCAUAUUGAGAAUGACCCCAAA
rnacentral:miRNA from 1 species